UAAAUGUGCUCUCACAGGGGUAAAUGGCAAAUAUGAACCAUAAAUGAUGUAUAUAUCAUUGGUAGCUGAGUUAAAGUAAACAUAUAAUUAAUAAAUAAUGUGAA